rnacentral:tRNA from 1 species
GAGGGAAUAGCUCCAUUGUAGAGUGCAUGCCUAGCAUGCAUGAGGUCCUGGGUUCAGUCCCCAGUACCCUCA